rnacentral:rRNA from 1 species
GACGAACGCUGGCGGCGUGCUUAACACAUGCAAGUCGAACGGAAAGGCCCUGCUUGCAGGGUACUCGAGUGGCGAACGGGUGAGUAACACGUGGGUGAUCUGCCCUGCACUUCGGGAUAAGCCUGGGAAACUGGGUCUAAUACCGGAUAGGAGCCAUUUUUAGUGUGAUGGUUGGAAAGUUUUUUCGGUGUAGGGUGAGCUCGCUGCCUAUCAGCUUGUUGGUGGGGUAAUGGCCUACCAAGGCGGCGGCGGGUAGCCGGCCUGAGAGGGUGGACGGCCAACUUGGGACUGAGGGAAGGCAGAGAUGCCUAAGGGAGGCAGAAGGGGGGAAUAUUGAACAAGGAACGCAAGCUUGAUGAAGCGGGGCCGCGUGGGGGAUGACGGCGUUAGGGUUGUAAACCAAUUUCGUAAGGGACGAAGCUUUUUGUGACGGUACCUAGUGAAGAAGCCCCGGCUAACUACGUG